rnacentral:rRNA from 1 species
GUCUACGGCCAUGCCCCUCUGAACAAGCCCGAUGUCUGAUCUCGGAAGCUAAGCAGGGUCUGGCCUGGUUAGUACUUGGAUGGGAGACCACCUAGGAAGGCCGAGUGCUGUAGGCA